GUUUAAUCCAGCAGGUCAGACCCGAGGGCAGGGCUGUUUCUUCGCUGUAAGCAGGAAAAUCGGAGUCUGGCUGAUCCCUUGUGACGUCACACAGGCACAGCCCGUCCCUGGGAAACUGUGAAUUCUCUCCUGCUGGCACCUGAGCGCCAUGAGACCUGGGCUGGCUUGUGGGACAGAAGAAACCCGAUCCUGAACACGGAGCCUCAGACUCCUUCCUGAAACGUUGACAGCACUAAGCCCAUGGGUGAGAUGAAACUUUAUUCCAAAGGAGAGCCGCACAUCUGAGAAAAACCUGAAUAAAUCCCCAGCUGUGUUCACCAGGGCUCUCAGUGCCCACCUCGGCAUUCUGUGUCACUGUCUCAGUGCCUACCUGGGGCAUUCUGUGUCACUGCCCACACUGACUCUAGUUGUGUCCACAUGUCAAUAAACUUCUAUUUUCUUCUGUUUUGCUAUAAACCUUA
ensembl:lncRNA